rnacentral:rRNA from 1 species
GAUGAACGCUGGCGGCGUGCUUAACACAUGCAAGUCGAACGAAGCACUUUUAUUUGAUUUCUUCGGAAUGAAGAUUUUAGUGACUGAGUGGCGGACGGGUGAGUAACGCGUGGGUAACCUGCCUCAUACAGGGGGAUAACAGUUAGAAAUGACUGCUAAUACCGCAUAAGACCACGGUACCGCAUGGUACAGGGGUAAAAACUCCGGUGGUAUGAGAUGGACCCGCGUCUGAUUAGGUGGUUGGUGGGGUAACGGCCGACCAAGCCGACGAUCAGUAGCCGCCCUGAGAGGGUGACCGGCCACAUUGGGACUGAGACACGGCACAAACUCCUACGGGAGGCAGCAGUGGGGAAUAUUGCACAAUGGGGGAAACCCUGAUGCAGCGACGCCGCGUGAGCGAUGAAGUAUUUCGGUAUGUAAAGCUCUAUCAGCAGGGAAGAAAAUGACGGUACCUGACUAAGAAGCACCGGCUAAAUACGUGCCAGCAGCCGCGGUAAAAC